rnacentral:pre_miRNA from 1 species
CCCGGCCCCGGGAUCAGCAGAGCCGAGAGGGAUCCUGGCCAGGAUCCCUCUCGGCUCUGCUGAUCCCGGGGCCGGGA